GACUCGUGAUUAGGGGGAAAUGACGGCAGCGCGCGGUAUGUGAACCCAUGAGGCACUUGGUUCAUCAAAAACCUACAAUGGUAAACUUUUGUGCUGUGUUAGGGUUCCAACAAAGCUGAUGGGAAAGGUGAAAAGAAGUCUUUCUACAGAAUACCAGCUGUGAUUGAGACACAAGGGGAGCAAAGCAAGGAGCUUUCUGCCAGGAGACAGAGAGAGGAUUUAGCUGCUUUAUGCAGAGCGGAUCUGAAUACUUCAAGUCUAUUUUGUUACUGGGGAAACUGGAGCACCCAGAGGAAACCCACACAGACAUGGGGAGAACAUUCAAACGCCGCACAGAAAACCCCCCGGCAGCCAGUGGGCUCGAACCCAAGACCUUCUUGCUGUGAGGUGACAGUACUAACCACUACACCAUGUGCUGCCCUUGGAUAAUGAUCCAAGUAUUAAAAAUAAUCCUUAUAUUUAUAAGCAUUUCAGUCUGUCCAAUUACUUUUGAGCCUGUGAAAAUGGAGUAAAUGUGUAAAAAUGUCUGUAAUUCCUAAAUGUUUGUGAUGUUUUUGUUAAAAUCCUUGAAUUAAAGGUGAUAUGUGGAAUAA